AUGGCGCGACCAGAUCCGCCACGGUUGCCCCGCGCUUUGUCCACGGGCUCGACUCCAGGGACUGGUCUGCGAGGCCCUCAACGACGCGUGCCGCCUCGCCAUCCACCACCCUGCCCUCCUCGUCCCCAUCCUGGAGAAGGUGGUGCUGGGGAUCUUGAAGACGAUGAAGAACUCGUGCAGCGCCGUGCUCAAGACCUCCGUGAUGGCGUGCACGGACGUCUUCACGGCCUUCGGCAACCUCUCCUUGAGCAGCAGCUUGUCCAAGCCGAUGCAGUUGGAGUUCAUAUAUAUUUCUCCAAAAAUUAUACUCUCACUAUGCGCCGCCGGAUUCGAGGGUGGAGCCCGAGCCUCAACUGGAGCAUGGAUCAGCCGUGCAGAGGUGGAGCUCCGCAUGGAUCAUGA
rnacentral:rRNA from 1 species